UUAGUUUAGAGGAUUGAGUUUCCCAUUAGGCUGCAUUACUUUUCUGAUCGGGGCCUUAUCUGUCUCUUUCUUGUACGCCUUGUGUGGAAUAAGAAUAAUAGAAUUCAAUGAUAUCAUCAGAGAAACAUUAUUAAAAACAAAAUGGUAUUUGUGGAAUACGAAGAACAGGAAGGCUUUGUUACUAUUUCUAACAAACACAGAGGAAAACUUAUGUUUGAAAGCUGGUCACUUUAUAAUCAACUACGAGCUAUAUAUUUGGAUGGUACACAAAGUUUUUAAUUUAUAUACUGCACUUUUGUGCUUGAA